rnacentral:misc_RNA from 1 species
GAAAUGCGAUAAGUAAUGUGAAUUGCAGAAUUCAGUGAAUCAUCGAAUCUUUGAACGCACCUUGCGCUCCUUGGUAUUCCUUGGAGCAUGCCUGUUUGAGUAUCAUGAAAUCUUCAAAGUAAAUCUUUUGUUAACUCAAUUGGUUUCUACUUUGGUAUUGGAGGUCUUUGCAGCUUCACACCUGCUCCUCUUUGUUCAUUAGCUGGAUCUCAGUGUUAUGCUUGGUUCCACUCGGCGUGAUAAGUUAUCUAUCGCUGAGGACACUGUAAAAGGUGGUCAAGGUAAAUGCAGAUGAACCGCUUCUAAUAGUCCAUUGACUUGGACAAUACUUUUAUGAUCUGAUCUCAAAUCAGGUAGGACUACCCGCUGACCUUAAGC